rnacentral:misc_RNA from 1 species
GAUGAAGAACGUAGCGAAAUGCGAUACGUAAUGUGAAUUGCAGAUUUCAGUGAAUCAUCGAAUCUUUGAACGCACAUUGCGCCCGCUAGUAUUCUGGCGGGCAUGCCUGUUCGAGCGUCAUUUCAACCAUCAAGCCCUAGGCUUGCGUUGGAGCCCUGCGGCUGCCGCAGGCUCCCAAAUCCAGUGGCGGGCUCGUCGUUGUACCGAGUGCAGUAAACAUCCUCGCUCAGGGAACGUGACGGGUUCUUGCCGUGAAACCCCCCACAUAUCAAGGUUGACCUCGGAUCAGGUAGGAAUACCCGCUGAACUUAAGCAUAUCAAUAAGCGGAGGA